CCCUUAGAUGUCCUGGGCUGCACGCGCGCUACACUGAUGUGUCCAGUAAGCACCUAACCUCUUCCGAAAGGAACGGGUAACCUUUGCAAAGCACAUCGUGAUGGGGAUAGAUUAUUGCAAUUAUUAGUCUUGAACGAGGAAUUCCUAGUAAGCACAAGUCAUCAGCUUGUGUUGAUUACGUCCCUGCCCUUUGUACACACCGCCCGUCGCUCCUACCGAUUGAAUGUUCCGGUGAGCUCUUCGGACUGCGCGGUCUGCGGUUUCUGCGUUCCGUGCGGAAAGUUGCGCAAACCUUAACAUUUAGAGGAAGGAGAAGUCGUAACA
rnacentral:rRNA from 1 species